rnacentral:rRNA from 1 species
UACGUAGGGGGCAAGCGUUGUUCGGAUUCAUUGGGCGUAAAGGGUGUGUAGGUGGCGCCGUAAGUCGGGUGUGAAAUUUCGGAGCUUAACUCCGAAACUGCAUUCGAUACUGCGGUGCUUGAGGACUGGAGAGGAGACUGGAAUUCAUGGUGUAGCAGUGAAAUGCGUAGAGAUCAUGAGGAAGACCAGUGGCGAAGGCGGGUCUCUGGACAGUUCCUGACACUGAGACACGAAGGCCAGGGGAGCAAACGGG